rnacentral:rRNA from 1 species
UAUUAUUUUUGAUGUAAAUUAUUUAUAACCUGAGUAGUAAUAGUUAUUGUCUUGAAACUUAAAGAAUUUGGCGGUAUUUUAGUCUAUUUAGAGGAAUCUGUCCCUUAAUCGAUAAUCCGCGUUGUACCUUACUAAAUUUUUUUUGGUAUGUAUACCGCCGUUUAUUUGAGAAUUUUUUUAGAAUUAAUUUUAAUUUUCGAUAUUUGUUAAUAAAUUUUAUUUCAGGUCAAGGUGCAGCUUGUAAUUUAGUGGAGAUGGAUUACAUUUAUAUUUAUUAUUGGAUUAAGUUUUGUAAUAGAUUUAUUAAAUUGGAUUUAAUUGUAAUUUUUUGUAGAUUGUAAAGUGGAUUUUUAGCUCUAAAAUAUGUACACAUCGCCCGUCGCUCUCAUUAUUUUUAGGU